AUGGCCUUAAAGCUCCUUUCCAACCAUAGUUCCCUGGUCCAGGCAGUGCUGACUCAGCCGGCCUCGGUGUAAGCCAACCCGGGAGAAACCGUCCAGAUCACCUGCUCUGGGAGCAGCAACAGCUAUGCCGAGGACGAGGCUGUCUAUUACUGUGGUAGUGCAGACAGCAGCAGCUAUGUUG